GGUGGCAUGAUCUCGGUUCACUGCAACCUCCACCUCCCAGGUUCAAGCGAUUCUCCUGUCUCAGCCUCCCAAGUAGCUAGGACUACAGGUGCAUACCACGAUGCCUGGCUAAUUUUUGUAUUUUUAGUACAGUCAAGAGUUUCACCUUGUUGUCCAGGCUGGUCUCGAACUCCUGACCUCAGGUGAUCCACCCACCAUGGCCUCCCAAAGUGCUGGGAUUACAGGCAUAAGCCACCGCACCCAGCCUGAUAUUGCACUCUUGGAUUUUGAACACUGA
rnacentral:lncRNA from 1 species